CACUCACAUGAAACCGAACCGGAUCCCGGGAAGACAAAAGGCGGUCCGGUGUCUCCUGCAGCUGCAUGAUUCGCCUCAUGAGGAGCUGCAGCUUUCACAAAGUGCAUGGGUCCCAAUGACGUAAUGUGGGAGACGAGGGUCCCUCUCUAUCUCCCCACACAUCCACCAACCACUGGAACACAUCUCCAAAGUUCUGCCGGGCCAGCUCAGCUUCCCCUCAGAAGAAGUGCUGUCACCUGCCAGAUGAAGGAGCCUUUUGAGAGGCAGCUGGCAUCGUGAUUGGACUGUACUUUGGUCUGUUCCAAUCCAGCUUCAGCUCCAGAGACGGCAGGCGGGACGAGUCAACGGAGGCCUGGUGGACGAAGGCAUGCAGCUGAGUACAAUCCAGAAAACAACAGAGGAGGAGUGCAGGACCAGAACAACCAGAGUAGCAUGGUAUGUCUCUUAGAAAACAUCAUAGUAUAGCCUUUGCUAUGAAAAAACACCAUCAUAUACAUCGUAUAUUGUACAAAUAACAAGUCAAAGGAAAGAGACAUACAUUGUAGAAUUGUAGUAAUUGUGGGCUGACUGAUUUACUGAUUAUCAGUAUUUUAUUUUUUACUGAUUUACGGUAAUAAAUACAUUUAAAAAUGG